GUAUUGGCAUCGUCUAUGAGUAUUAGGUACAGCGUAUAUCUUAGUGUGACUUCUGGCACUGGCGGUAACAAGAUCAUAUUUGGCCAUGGCACUAAAUUGAUUGUGCAGUCAAAAGAGGGACCAGAUACACCAACUUUCUAUGAGCUGGAAAAAGAAAAAAUUAAAGCCUGCCUGGCCACUGACUUCAGACUUCAUAAUGAAUCUGACAAAACAGACCUUUUCAAUAAAACGGAUAAAACAGAUGCCACUCGUAUUGUGGGGGACAAGUUAUAUAGCAAGGCUGUCAUCAUGUCAGAGGGAGACACUUGCCCAUAUACAGGAUCCAAUUGUGAAGCUGGACCAGGUGGAGAUAUGGACCCAGAUCCAAAGUUGAACUUUUUGACGCUGAGUGUUCUGGGUCUGAGAAUCCUCUUCCUGAAAACCAUUGUGUUCAACGUUCUGAUGACUGUCCGGGUCUGGAUGAGAUAGUCAUGUCUGUGACUUGGGAGGGAAAUUUGUCUACCCAAGUUGCCUGAAUCAUGUUUGACUGGAUUUCACACACACACACACCACACACACAUACACACACACACACACACACACACACAUACACACACACACACACACAUACAAAAUCUUAACAGUAUAUAGUGUAAAAAGUAAAAUCUCUCUGUUCAAUAUUUUGAAUUAUUCUGACUAGAAUAUUCAUUCAUUCAUUCAUUCAUUCAUUUAACAAAUAGUCUACUGAAACUAAAUAUUUUGAUGAAACAGUUCUUAUAAUACAUUUUUGGAGUGCAUGAAAUCAUUAUGCCAUAUUGUUAUACGGAAUGUCUUCUGUAUCUAUACAUGUUAAUCUACUUCAAACCAUCAGUUCUGUAAUGCACACCUAACUUCAAUUAUGUGUUAAGCCUGAUUGUGUAUGGAUUUAUGUCUGCCAUGUUACAUUUUCCUGACCAGUGCUUUAGUUACAGAAUGGCUAUAAUUGUACCAGGAAGCCAAUUAGCUAAUUACUUGCUUAAUUGUAAAUGUACGAGUGAGUUACUUUUUGAAUUGCAAUACACAAAUAUUUUAUUUCAGUAUUGUAAAGCAUGUUUUUCUCUCUAAUAGUGUAUAUACUGACUCAAGCAUAAUCAUUUAUGUCUGUGAAGAUAUUUUGCUGAAAAUAAAAUAAAUUAAAAAAUCAUGAA